GACGAACGCUGGCGGCGUGCUUAACACAUGCAAGUCGAACGCUGAAGCUUGGUGCUUGCACUGGGUGGAUGAGUGGCGAACGGGUGAGUAAUACGUGAGUAACCUGCCCUUGACUCUGGGAUAAGCCUGGGAAACUGGGUCUAAUACUGGAUACGACAUGUCACCGCAUGGUGGUGUGUGGAAAGGGUUUUACUGGUUUUGGAUGGGCUCACGGCCUAUCAGCUUGUUGGUGGGGUAAUGGCUCACCAAGGCGACGACGGGUAGCCGGCCUGAGAGGGUGGCCGGCCACACUGGGACUGAGACACGGCCCAGACUCCUACGGGAGGCAGCAGUGGGGAAUAUUGCACAAUGGGCGGAAGCCUGAUGCAGCGACGCCGCGUGAGGGAUGACGGCCUUCGGGUUGUAAACCUCUUUCAGCACGGAAGAAGCGAAAGUGACGGUACGUGCAGAAGAAGCGCCGGCUAACUACGUG
rnacentral:rRNA from 1 species